rnacentral:rRNA from 1 species
GACGAACGCUGGCGGCGUGCUUAACACAUGCAAGUCGAACGGAAAGGCCCUGCUUUUGUGGGGUGCUCGAGUGGCGAACGGGUGAGUAACACGUGAGUAACCUGCCCUUGACUUUGGGAUAACUUCAGGAAACUGGGGCUAAUACCGGAUAGGAGCUCCUGCUGCAUGGUGGGGGUUGGAAAGUUUCGGCGGUUGGGGAUGGACUCGCGGCUUAUCAGCUUGUUGGUGGGGUAGUGGCUUACCAAGGCUUUGACGGGUAGCCGGCCUGAGAGGGUGACCGGCGACAUUGGGACUGAGAUACGGCCCAGAAUCCUACGGGAGGCAGCAGUGGGGAAUAUUGCACAAUGGGCGGAAGCCUGAGGCAGCAACGCCGCGUGCGGGAUGACGGCCUUCGGGUUGUAAACAGCUUUCGCCUGUGACGAAGCGUGAGUGACGGUAAUGGGUAAAGAAGCACCGGCUAACUACGUG